UUUAGGAACCUCCCUCUCUGUUACUACUCCCUUUGGAUUUAUCCAGUAGUCUUAGACGUCACCAGGGCCAAGCCAUGCAUAUAUAGAUUGAAAUGUUGUUUUCAAAACCUACUCAAGCUAUCUCUUGAUGAACAAGAUUAGUACCAUCUGAUUACAACCCUGAAGGGUCUAGAUUCCUUAUUCUGCAAAAUGGAUUUAUUGUAUCUCAAGGCACUGUGAAGUUUGCAGUAGCAUGUAUAGGCAAAAAGGAAAGUCCAAAGAGAGGAAAAGAAAGCAGGAGAGAUCUGAAAUGACACAAGAAGUGACUCAGAAUGGGAAGAUUGUGCACUCCUUGUUGUCCCCUAAUGCACAUGGAAGUAU
rnacentral:lncRNA from 1 species